UAUUUCCUUAUCUCGAAGCUGGUCUCCAGGUCUUGGGAAUGAGAGUCGAGUAGUGUUUUGAGUUAUGGGAUAUUCGUAAGGCACUACGGGUGUCACUACACGACUUGGUGCUAUGGGGUCACACACUCUCUACGGCCGCACUCCGAAAUUUUUCAAGAACUUUUCAGCUAUACGUUGAAAACUCGCGUUGUACAGAUAAUAAAUGCAUCGUCUCUCCGAUGGAUGAAAUUUUUGCCUCUUCCGGUACCAGGACCGUGAAUAACGUCGGCGUCGUUCUCGGCGACGAUGACGGUGCUGAUCGGCGUCAUCGGGAUCCAGGUGUCAAUCGUCCAUCGUGACCAGGAUGGCUCUGCUGUGUUAUGCGUCGGGGGAUGAUAACGUUGGUCUUGAAGAACGACGCUGUCGAGUUACGUUGCUGGAACGAAGACGUCCAUCGUCGCCGAGAAGCAGGACGAGUGUGUCUUAACAGGGGGUCGUCGAUGGGUGUUCCAAAAAUGGAUUAAAUUCUAUCCACGUGAUUAACGAUGGUAUUUCAGGGUUCGCGAAUAGACAAUCCAUCGAAGGUACAAACUGAAUAAUUAUUAUAUUGAUUUAUAAGUGAUGGGUUCUUUUUUUUAAAGAUGACGACACCCUGACGACUUCGUACGUUACUAGCGGGACUGGCACGUGAAUCGGUCGUACGACAUAUAUAUGUGUGUAUACAUAUAUAAAUAUUUCUAUAUAGAGUAUUUAUAUAUAUAUGUUUUUAAUAUAUACGCGUAUUGCAUUGGACGAGAACAUAUAGGUAUAUCACAGCUAACACCGAUCAAUGGCAGGAAAACAGUCAAGUAGAGAGACAGAGCAGAUCAAUCGAUUCAAGUGCAAUUCGAGAACUUUAUGUUAUAUUAGGCUGCUGGCACGGAGGCGCAUUGGUCGCGGGACAAAAGAAAAAGGAAAAAACGACGUCUAAAACGAGACCCUGAGGUACAUAAAUAUAUGUAUAUAUAUCAGGGCUUGCGUAUGUCCAUACAUCUUGGAAUAUCGUGGGGACCUGGUGAAACAUCCCGUACAUCGCCGAAGGAGACGGCGUGGCGAACUUUCAUUGUUCAAGGACCAUCUCAAAAGUUCCCUUAGCUGAGAAAAGUCCAUCAUCAUCCUCUGGCCGUGUUACGCGUUCGGCGACAAGUUGUGACGAUUGAACGAAAAAAAAAAAA